AGAGGAAAGUACAUUUGUUGUUUUGUACAGGAUCCAUUUUGAGACGACAGCAGAAACCACUAUUUGGAGAGUAAAACAUAAAGGUCCAGCAGAAGAGACCAGACUCAACUGGACCCAGCUGUGUGUCCAUGAAGAGUGACCGGUCUAUGGAGCUACCACUCAAAUUCAGAAAAGGAGAUUGUACCACUGAUCCAGGGGUCCAGCAGAAGAGACCAGACUCACCUGGACCCAGCUGUGUGUCCAUGAAGAGUGACCGGUCUAUGGAGCAGCCACUCAAAUUCAGAAAAGUAGAUUGUACCACUGAUCCAGGGUAAGAACUGAAA